AGGUUGAGAAUGAAAUAAAGAUUGGUUCCAGAUGGAAAAAUAAGGUAAAAUUUGAUUGUUUGAAUUAGAGAAAUAAUUACUUUUUUUAGUUUCUUAACUUGUCAAUUCU